AUUGAACGCUGGCGACAUGCCUUACACAUGCGAGUCGAACGGCAGCACGGGUGCUUGCACCUGGUGGCGAGUGGCGAACGGGUGAGUAAUACAUCGGAACAUGUCCUGUAGUGGGGGAUAGCCCGGCGAAAGCCGGAUUAAUACCGCAUACGAUCUACGGAUGAAAGCGGGGGACCUUCGGGCCUCGCGCUAUCGGGUUGGCCGAUGGCUGAUUAGCUAGUUGGUGGGGUAAAGGCCUACCAAGGCGACGAUCAGUAGCUGGUCUGAGAGGACGACCAGUCACACUGGGACUGAGACACGGCCCAGACUCCUACGGGAGGCAGCAGUGGGGAAUUUUGGACAAUGGGCGAAAGCCUGAUCCAGCAAUGCCGCGUGUGUGAAGAAGGCCUUCGGGUUGUAAAGCACUUUUGUCCGGAAAGAAAUCCUUGGCCCUAAUACGGUCGGGGGAUGACGGUACCGGAAGAAUAAGCACCGGCUAACUACGUG
rnacentral:rRNA from 1 species